rnacentral:rRNA from 1 species
UUCGGGAAUGAUUAUUUUGUGACUGAGUGGCGGACGGGUGAGUAACGCGUGGGUAACCUGCCUCACACAGGGGGACAACAGCUGGAAACGGCUGCUAAUACCGCAUAAGCGCACAGCUUCGCAUGGAGCAGUGUGAAAAACUCCGGUGGUGUGAGAUGGACCCGCGUCUGAUUAGGUAGUUGGUGGGGCAACGGCCUACCAAGCCGACGAUCAGUAGCCGACCUGAGAGGGUGACCGGCCACAUUGGGACUGAGACACGGCCCAAACUCC